ACGGAAGGCAGCAGUGGGGAGUAUUGCACAAUGGGCGCAAGCCUGAUGCAGCAACGCCGCGUGAGUGAAGAAGUAUUUCGGUAUGUAAAGCUCUAUCGAUGGGGAAUAAGAUGAAGGUACCCAAGUAAGAAGCCCCGGCUAACUACGUGCCAGCAGCCGCGGUAAUACGUAGGGGGCAAGCGUUAUCCGGAUUUACUGGGUGUAAAGGGAGCGUAGACGGCAAAGCAAGUCUGAAGUGAAAUCCCGGGGCUCAACCCCGGAACUGCUUUGGAAACUGUUUAGCUAGAGUGCAGGAGAGGUAAGCGGAAUUCCUAGUGUAGCGGUGAAAUGCGUAGAUAUUAGGAGGAACACCAGUGGCGAAGGCGGCUUACUGGACUGUAACUGACGUUGAGGCUCGAAAGCGUGGGGAGCAAACAGGAUUAGAUACCCUGGUA
rnacentral:rRNA from 1 species